rnacentral:rRNA from 1 species
GAUGAACGCUGGCGGCGUGCUUAACACAUGCAAGUCGAACGGAAAGGCCCAAGCUUGCUUGGGUACUCGAGUGGCGAACGGGUGAGUAACACGUGGGUGAUCUGCCCUGCACUUCGGGAUAAGCCUGGGAAACUGGGUCUAAUACCGGAUAGGACCACAUUUUGGAUGGUGUGGUGGAAAGUUUUUCGGUGUGGGAUGAGCUCGCGGCCUAUCAGCUUGUUGGUGGGGUAAUGGCCUACCAAGGCGUCGACGGGUAGCCGGCCUGAGAGGGUGUACGGCCGCAUUGGGACUGAGAUACGGCCCAGACUCCUACGGGAGGCAGCAGUGGGGAAUAUUGCACAAUGGGCGCAAGCCUGAUGCAGCGACGCCGCGUGGGGGAUGACGGCCUUCGGGUUGUAAACUCCUUUCGCUAGGGACGAAGCGUUAUGUGACGGUACCUGGAGAAGAAGCACCGGCUAACUACGUG